rnacentral:rRNA from 1 species
GCUGUGAAGCCAGACCGGAAGGACUGGUGGAGCGCUUAGAAGUGAGAAUGCCGGUAUGAGUAGCGAAAGAGGGGUGAGAAUCCCCUCCACCGAAUGCCUAAGGUUUCCUGAGGAAGGCUCGUCCGCUCAGGGUUAGUCGGGACCUAAGCCGAGGCCGAAAGGCGUAGGCGAUGGACAACAGGUUGAUAUUCCUGUACCACCUCCUCACCAUUUGAGCAAUGGGGGGACGCAGGAGGAUAGGGUAAGCGCGGUAUUGGAUAUCCGCGUCCAAGCAGUUAGGCUGGGAAAUAGGCAAAUCCGUUUCCCAUAAGGCUGAGCUGUGAUGGCGAGCGAAAUAUAGUAGCGAAGUUCCUGAUUCCACACUGCCAAGAAAAGCCUCUAGCGAGGUGAGAGGUGCCCGUACCGCAAACCGACACAGGUAGGCGAGGAGAGAAUCCUAAGGUGAUCGAGAGAACUCUCGUUAAGGAACUCGGCAAAAUGACCCCGUAACUUCGGGAGAAGGGGUGCUCUGUUAGGGUGCAAGCCCGAGAGAGCCGCAGUGAAUAGGCCCAGGCGACUGUUUAGCAAAAACACAGGUCUCUGCGAAGCCGUAAGGCGAAGUAUAGGGGCUGACGCCUGCCCGGUGCUGGAAGGUUAAGAGGAGCGCUUAGCGUAAGCGAAGGUGCGAAUUGAAGCCCCAGUAAACGGCGGCCGUAACGAUAACGGUCCUAAGGUAGCGAAAUUCCUUGUCGGGUAAGUUCCGACCCGCACGAAAGGCGCAACGAUCUGGGCACUGUCUCAACGAGAGACUCGGUGAAAUUAUAGUACCUGUGAAGAUGCAGGUUACCCGCGACAGGACGGAAAGACCCCGUGGAGCUUUACUGCAGCCUGAUAUUGAAUGUUGGUACAGCUUGUACAGGAUAGGUAGGAGCCUUGGAAACCGGAGCGCCAGCUUCGGUGGAGGCAUCGGUGGGAUACUACCCUGGCUGUAUUGACCUUCUAACCCGCCGCCCUUAUCGGGCGGGGAGACAGUGUCAGGUGGGCAGUUUGACUGGGGCGGUCGCCUCCUAAAAGGUAACGGAGGCGCCCAAAGGUUCCCUCAGAAUGGUUGGAAAUCAUUCGCAGAGUGUAAAGGCACAAGGGAGCUUGACUGCGAGACCUACAAGUCGAGCAGGGACGAACGUCGGGCUUAGUGAUCCGGUGGUUCCGCAUGGAAGGGCCAUCGCUCAACGGAUAAAAGCUACCCCGGGGAUAACAGGCUUAUCUCCCCCAAGAGUCCACAUCGACGGGGAGGUUUGGCACCUCGAUGUCGGCUCAUCGCAUCCUGGGGCUGUAGUCGGUCCCAAGGGUUGGGCUGUUCGCCCAUUAAAGCGGUACGCGAGCUGGGUUCAGAACGUCGUGAGACAGUUCGGUCCCUAUCCGUCGCGGGCGCAGGAAAUUUGAGAGGAGCUGUCCUUAGUACGAGAGGACCGGGAUGGACGCACCGCUGGUGUACCAGUUGUUCUGCCAAGGGCAUCGCUGGGUAGCUAUGUGCGGACGGGAUAAGUGCUGAAAGCAUCUAAGCAUGAAGCCCCCCUCAAGAUGAGAUUUCCCAUUCCGCAAGGAAGUAAGAUCCCUGAAAGAUGAUCAGGUUGAUAGGUCUGAGGUGGAA